rnacentral:rRNA from 1 species
UACGUAGGGUGCGAGCGUUGUCCGGAAUUAUUGGGCGUAAAGGGCUCGUAGGCGGUUUGUCACGUCGGGAGUGAAAACUCGGGGCUUAACCCCGAGCCUGCUUCCGAUACGGGCAGACUAGAGGUAUGCAGGGGAGAACGGAAUUCCUGGUGUAGCGGUGAAAUGCGCAGAUAUCAGGAGGAACACCGGUGGCGAAGGCGGGUCUCUGGGCCGUAACUGACGCUGAGGAGCGAAAGCGUGGGGAGCGAACAGG